rnacentral:lncRNA from 1 species
CAUUUCAUUCACGAUAUGGAAAGCCGCAUUGUUAACUUGAAACUGAGGUUAUUCGUUACAUGUUUCGUUUUCAACCUGACGAGGGCAGUCUAUUAACAGUAUAGUAUCAGGGUUUCCGCUGGCGGUCGCCAUUUUCGCAAUUUGCGAAAAAAUAAUAAUUGUGGCGAUUAAAAUUCGUCAUUGGCGAAAGAAUUUGGCGAAAGAAAUAUGUAUUACGAUUUAUUUUCAGCCAUCUUGUUUAUUUACUUUUUUCGGGUUUCUCUGACUCUACCGAUCAGACAAUACUCGGAAAUCACCUUGAACUCGUUAAGAUUUUGACAGAAAAUCAAUAAUCAGC